GAUCCUGGCUCAGGAUGAACGCUGGCGGCGUGCUUAACACAUGCAAGUCGAACGGACUUUACAUGAAGCCUAGCGAUUGUAAAGUUAGUGGCGGACGGGUGAGUAACGCGUGAAUAACCUGCCCUGUACCGGGGGACAACAGUUGGAAACGACUGCUAAUACCGCAUAAGCGCACGGUUCCGCAUGGAACAGUGUGAAAAACUCCGGUGGUACAGGAUGGAUUCGCGUCUGAUUAGCCAGUUGGUGGGGUAACGG
rnacentral:rRNA from 1 species